GAGUAGCUCAGUGGUAGAGCAAUGGGCUCAUAACCCAAUGGUCCCAGGAUCGUUAC
rnacentral:tRNA from 1 species